rnacentral:tRNA from 1 species
GCCUUCGUGGUGUAGUGGUCAGCACGCUCGACCCGAAUUCGAGAGGUCCGUGGUUGAAUCCCGGCGAGGGCG